rnacentral:rRNA from 1 species
CAGAUCCGGAGCUUGCUCCUUUGACGUUAGCGGCGGACGGGUGAGUAACACGUGGGUAACCUACCUAUAAGACUGGGAUAACUUCGGGAAACCGGAGCUAAUACCGGAUAAUAUUUCGAACCGCAUGGUUCGAUAGUGAAAGAUGGUUUUGCUAUCACUUAUAGAUGGACCCGCGCCGUAUUAGCUAGUUGGUAAGGUAACGGCUUACCAAGGCGACGAUACGUAGCCGACCUGAGAGGGUGAUCGGCCACACUGGAACUGAGACACGGUCCAGACUCCUACGGGAGGCAGCAGUAGGGAAUCUUCCGCAAUGGGCGAAAGCCUGACGGAGCAACGCCGCGUGAGUGAUGAAGGUCUUCGGAUCGUAAAACUCUGUUAUUAGGGAAGAACAUACGUGUAAGUAACUGUGCACGUCUUGACGGUACCUAAUCAGAAAGCCACGGCUAACUACGUGCCAGCAGCCGCGGUAAUACGUAGGUGGCAAGCGUUAUCCGGAAUUAUUGGGCGUAAAGCGCGCGUAGGCGGUUUUUUAAGUCUGAUGUGAAAGCCCACGGCUCAACCGUGGAGGGUCAUUGGAAACUGGAAAACUUGAGUGCAGAAGAGGAAAGUGGAAUUCCAUGUGUAGCGGUGAAAUGCGCAGAGAUAUGGAGGAACACCAGUGGCGAAGGCGACUUUCUGGUCUGUAACUGACGCUGAUGUGCGAAAGCGUGGGGAUCAAACAGGAUUAGAUACCCUGGUAGUCCACGCCGUAAACGAUGAGUGCUAAGUGUUAGGGGGUUUCCGCCCCUUAGUGCUGCAGCUAACGCAUUAAGCACUCCGCCUGGGGGAGUACGACCGCAAGGUUGAAACUCAAAGGAAUUGAC